CUCGGCAGCUAGCUCUCUGCAACUCUCACAUGGUCACCCACUAAAGUUAAGCAGGACUGCGCCUGGUCAGUUCCUGCAUGGGAGACCACAUGGAAAAGCUUGGUUGCUGUCGGGA
ensembl:rRNA 5S_rRNA 5S ribosomal RNA